UGGGGAAUACUGUACAAUGGGCGCAAGCCUGAUGCAGCGACGCCGCGUGAGGGAUGACGGCCUUCGGGUUGUAAACCUCUUUCAGCAGGGAAGAAGCGCAAGUGACGGUACCUGCAGAAGAAGCGCCGGCUAACUACGUGCCAGCAGCCGCGGUAAUACGUG
rnacentral:rRNA from 1 species